GUCCCGAUAGCACAAUGGAUCGUGCAGUAGCCUUCUAAGCUAUUGAUCCAGGUUCGAUCCCUGGUCGGGGCACCA
rnacentral:tRNA from 1 species